ensembl:lncRNA
GUGAUCCUCCUGCUUCAGCCUGCCAAGCGCUGGGAUUACAGUUCUCUUGAGUACAGACCCAGGGGUGAAACUGCUGCAUCCUGUAACAACUGCCAGGCUCGGUUCCACAGUGGCUGCAGCACCUCGCAUUCCUUCCAGCAGUGUGUGCAAAGUGUCAGCAGCUUCCCCAGCAUUACCGAAGAAUUCUGAUCUCGCUAUGCACUUGAGGUGAUCCUCCUGCCUCAGCCUCUUGAAUGUUGGAAUUAGGAACCACCACACCCAGGGGGCCUUCUCACUGAGUUACGUCCCCUCGGAUCCCUGCCCCCACCCCUUUUCCAGAGGAUGGAGAAAAGAAGUCUUGC